rnacentral:rRNA from 1 species
CGCAUCUGUGCAUGCAGCAUAUCAAUAAGCGGAGGAAAAGAAACUAACAAGGAUUCCCUUAGUAACGGCGAGUGAAGCGGGAAGAGCUCAAAUUUGAAAUCUUCAAGGGUUUACCUUUACGAAUUGUAGUUUAAAGAAGUGUUUUCUGUUGAGGUUUUGGUAAAAGUUCUUUGGAAUAGGACAUCAUAGAGGGUGAGAAUCCCGUAUUUGACCUUUACUUUCAACUUUGUGAUACACUUUCAAAGAGUCGGAUUGUUUGGGAAUGCAGGUCCAAAAUGGGUGGUAAAUUUCAUCUAAAGCUAAAUAUUGGCGAGAGACCGAUAGCGAACAAGUACCGUGAGGGAAAGAUGAAAAGAACUUUGAAAAGAGAGUUAAACAGUACGUGAAAUUGUCAAAAGGGAAGCGUUUGACACCAGUGUUGUUUUUCUGAAAAUCAAUUAAAGAACUGUUUAUGCUAAGCUGUUUAGACUUUAUCAGCUAUCUGUUUAGUUUUGAGCUUUUCUUUAAUGCACUUUUCAGUUAACAAGUCAACAUCAAUUUCUUUUGCUGUAAAAAAGCUUGAGGAAGGUGGCUUGAGAUUCGUCUUAAGUGUUUAUAGCCUCUUGCCUAUGCAGUCGGAGAGAUUGAGGUCUGCAGCGUAGAUCCUUCGGGGCUAAAUGCAUUUGUGCUAAGUUAUAGCAUUUUAUAGACAACUUGUUGACUAUGAUUUGUCUUGUAGCUUACUCGCUUAUGUUAUUUUACCUACGCUUAGGAUGUUGAUAGUCACAGCGUGUAC